CAGCCGUAAACAAUGUGCGUUAGGUGUGUCGGUAACCACGCGUUACUGAUGCGCCGAAGAGAAAUCGUGAAACGCACCACCUGGGAAGUACGGUCGCAAGGCUGAAACUUAAAGGAAUUGGCGGGGGAGCACCACAACAGGUGGAGCCUGCGGUUUAAUUUGGAUUCAACGCCGGACAUCUCACCGGAUAAGACAGCUGAAUGAUUGUCAAUCUGAAGGUUUUACAUGACUAGCUGAGAGGUGGUGCAUGGC
rnacentral:rRNA from 1 species